rnacentral:rRNA from 1 species
CCUACGGGUGGCUGCAGUGAGGAAUAUUGGUCAAUGGGCGAGAGCCUGAACCAGCCAAGUCGCGUGAGGGAGUACUGCCCUAUGGGUUGUAAACCUCUUUUGUCGGGGAGCAAAAGCCGGACCUGUUCGGCUGUGAGAGUACCCGAAAAAAAAGCAUCGGCUAACUCCGUGCCAGCAGCCGCGGUAAUACGGAGGAUGCGAGCGUUAUCCGGAUUUAUUGGGUUUAAAGGGUGCGCAGGCGGAUUGUUAAGUCAGCGGUAAAAUUGUGGGGCUCAAACCCGUCCAGCCGUUGAAACUGGGGACCUAGAGUGAGCGAGAGGUAUGCGGAAUGCGUGGUGUAGCGGUGAAAUACAUAGAUAUCACGCAGAACGCCGAUUGCGAAGGCAGCAUACCGGUGCACAACUGACGCUCAGGCACGAAAGCGUGGGUAUCGAACAGGAUUAGAUACCCCGGUAGUC